rnacentral:lncRNA from 1 species
AAACAGCCAAGGAAGGACAAAACCUACCUCUGACCACAAAGAGAACUCAAACCUCCUCCAUUUCCGGUCAACGAGGCUUUUAUAGGUGGCCAACCGACUCUCCUUCGGCGGCCUAAACUGCAUGCGAAACCAUGCAAUGUUCGGCGGCCGAACCUGGCAAUUGUCCCCUUGGUCUUUUCCUUUGCAAAACUCAAUUUGCUUAAGCAAAAACAUAAAAACAUGUUAAAACAUUUUGAAAAACCUCAAUUUUACCCUUAUGGCAGGCUCCGACAUCCCUGAAUCCCAGAUUUCAACGGAGAGUCCGCCGGAAAGUAAGAAUUCCGAUGUCGGGAUCUAGCCGGAUAUUACAUUUUCAAUAAGUCUACUAUAAUUUAGUAUAAUAAUCUAGUUUUAAUUCGCUUAAAUAUAUGACGCACUAUUAUAUUUUGCUUUAUUAAAUUUUAUUAUUUUAUCGUAUAAUAUAAUUUUUAAAUUUAUUUUUUAUUUGGCAAAAGUUAAGAUAUUAUGUAUUCUAAAUAAAUUUCGUAACCUCAUGAGUGGAGUUUUAUCUCACCAAGUUGUGUUAUAGUGGGGAAUUACAUUUGCUGUGCAGCUUUUUUUUUUUUUUUUAAUUUUCUCAUUUUAUGUGUAUUUGGGCUUAAUGUAUUGGAUUAUUGUUAAUAUUGGGCUGUUAGGCUUUUUUUAAGACCUUUUAAUGAAUUUUUUUUUUAUCAAAAAUAUAUCAAUCAUUUAAAAAAGCUAUAAAAUUUAAUAUUAUAUAAAAGGGACAAAGCUUAUAAAAUAAGCCUAUUAAUAUAAGGAUUCUUAUAGUUUAAAAAAUGUAGUAAUCCAACAGCUCAUAAAAAUUUUAAAGAUCCAAUUUGAAUAAUCGACUUUCUUACUUAGUAGAAAUAAAUUACCGUUUCUUUUUUUUUAAAUUUCUCGACUAUUUUCGAUAAUCAAAAAGAUAAAGUUUGUUAUUUCAAACAUAGUCAAAAUCUAAAACAACCAAUUAAAACACAAAUAGCAAACACAAGUUAAAAAUUGACAGACACAUACACAACAAUUAAAGAAAGAAGGACGAUAUUGAAAAGGAUGAUAUUGCACACUCUAAAAAGGAAAGCAGGGACUUCUUCAAUCGCAUUAAGCUCAACUUCUUAAAAUAUGAAAAGACUUCCAAAUCUUCUAUUCGACAAAGGAUAGAGGAGAAAACAACUAGAAAUGACUAAUCUCAAAUGGGAUUUUUUACCACUAGAUAAACACACAUGACAAGACUAUGAUCAGAAAUGGCUAGCCUUCAUCAUUAGACAAACACACAUGACAAGACUACAACAAAAAAUGACUAGCUUUAACGCCAAACUCUUAGUGAGGGGGGGGAAGAGCCACCCACUCGAUAAAAGCAGGGAUAACAAUGACUCAUGACAUAGACAAAACGCACUCUUAGUGAGGGGAGGGAAGAGCCACCCUGACAUCUCAAAAGAAAGAGAACCAUAGGAUUCUCAUAAAACUUUUUAUUUUAAUCUUUUCUAAAGAUAUUUUUUAAGACCUUUUAUUUUUCUUGCUGUAAUAAUAUUAUACAUAUCAAUUUAGCAGGAGCGGUUCCACACUUGUACUCUCGUACAUUUUAAUUCAAUUUUUAAUUUUCACUGAAAACCAAAUUAAAAGCAGAAUGGAUCCAUGCUGAAUCAAACUACCUUGUCUAUAAACAAGCUGACAACGUCAUCAUUUGGAGAGAAUCCCAUUAAUUCCCUGUUUCGAGCAACUGCCAAUUUUCAACUUCACAACUUCCUUUUCCAUGAAAUUUUCUUAACAAUUUCUGUUUUUUCUUUUUAAUAAAGAUAAAGCAUUUUGUUUUUAAUAUUUACUCCUGAUUUGAAGAAAAAGAAAAACACAGAAUUACGAGAAAUAAGAACAACACUAGACUCUAUUUAUCCAUCAAAAUUGAGAAACUGUUCAUAACUAUGCAUGAAAGCAAAUUCCCAUAUCUCUCCUUCCUCUCCACCAGUUCAUGAAUCUCAAUUAAUUAUCCAAAGAUAAUAUUUACAUCAACACAAGGAAGCUUUAAAAGAAAAACAGAGGAUCUACCACACAACCAGAGAAUGGAAAUGGUCUCCUCUAAAAGAAGCGAAACUGGAAUCUAUGAAUCGCCAACCGAGAUGGGUCUUGCACCUAACCCCAACGGAGAGCGAGAGAGAUGGCGGCCGCCAUUAAUUUCUUUGAGAACAGGUCUAAUCUCAGAUUUCCCUGGAGACCAAUCCAUGAUUUUAUUAUUUGAUUCUUGCUUGAUCUUAAUCACUUGACUGUGAAGUGGGAAACCCAUAUCAACUCCAAAAUCUUCUUUCCCAACAAUCUUCUGUUCCAUCUUCUACAAAAGCUUCAACGCCAUAGGAGUUUGUUUAUAAACGAGUGGAAAGCGAAGAAAGUUGAUGAGACGUAGAAGAUGAGGGAAGAAAACAGAGGAAGUUGGGCAGGAAAAUUCCGAGUUUGCAUCGUUUCAACUUUCAGCGACUAUUUGAGACCGUGUUGAAGAUAAGAUCAAAUUUUUUCAUCGUUAUCCCAACCGCGAAUUUUGGCGCGUGUUUUAGCUUUUCCGGAGGUUUCGUGUUCUGUUUUCGUCGCGCUACUUUCUCGCCUGUGGAUAGUAACCCGACUAUGGACUUUCAAAACUUUAGCUAUCAAGUUUUUAUGAGACGCGUGUUAAAAAACUAAUCUAAUUUCUCUAUAUAU